rnacentral:rRNA from 1 species
UACGUAGGGUGCAAGCGUUUGUCCGGAAUUAUUGGGCGUAAAGGGCUCGUAGGCGGUCCAUCGCGUCGGGAGUGAAAAGCUGGGGCUUAACCCCAGUCCUGCUUCCGAUACGGGUGGACUAGAGGUAGGUAGGGGAGAUCGGAAUUCCUGGUGUAGCGGUGAAAUGCGCAGAUAUCAGGAGGAACACCGGUGGCGAAGGCAGCUCGCUGGGACGGUACUGACGCUAAGGUGCGAAAGCGUGGGGAGCGAACAGG